UACGUAGGGUGCAAGCGUUAAUCGGAAUUACUGGGCGUAAAGCGUGCGCAGGCGGUUUUGUAAGUCUGUCGUGAAAUCCCCGGGCUCAACCUGGGAAUUGCGAUGGAGACUGCAAGGCUAGAAUCUGGCAGAGGGGGGUAGAAUUCCACGUGUAGCAGUGAAAUGCGUAGAGAUGUGGAGGAACACCGAUGGCGAAGGCAGCCCCCUGGGUCAAGAUUGACGCUCAUGCACGAAAGCGUGGGGAGCAAACGAGAUAACGAACCGAGU
rnacentral:rRNA from 1 species